rnacentral:rRNA from 1 species
GACGAACGCUAGCGGCGUGCCUAAGGUAUGCAAGUCGAACGGGAGUAGGGGCAACCCUGCUCGAGUGGCGAACGGUCGAGGAACACGUAGACAACCUGCCCGAGAGAGGGGGAUAACAGCUCGAAAGGGCUGCUAAUACCGCAUGUGGCCGCGAGGUGAUGCCUCGUGUGCUAAAGGGAAGCGCAAGCUUUACCGCUCUGGGAUGGGUCUGCGGCCUAUCAGCAGGUUGGGGGAC